UAAAAUUAAAAAAUUUGGCGGUAUUUUAGUCUUUUCAGUGGAACCUGUUCUAUAAUUGAUAAUCCACGAUUUAAUGUACUUAUUUUAAUAAAUUUAUAUAUCGUCGUAGUUUGAAUAUUUUAUAAGAAGUUUAAUAUUCAAGAUUUUUAUUAAAAAAUAAAUCAGAUCAAGGUGUAGUUAAUAAAUAAGAAGAAAUGGGUUACAAUUAAUAUAUUAAUAGAUAAAUUUAUUUAAAAAAAUUUUGAAAUUGGAUUUGAAAGUAAUUUUUUAUAAUUUUAAAAAAUGAUUUUAGCUCUAAAAUAUGUACAUAUUGCCCGUCACUUUUGUUUUAAGAUGAAAUAAGUCGUAACAAAGUAGAUUUACUGGAAAGUGAAUCUAGAAU
rnacentral:rRNA from 1 species